CCUACGGGUGGCAGCAGUGAGGAAUAUUGGUCAAUGGGCGCGAGCCUGAACCAGCCAAGUCGCGUGAGGGAAGACGGUCCUAUGGAUUGUAAACCUCUUUUGUCGGGGAGCAAAAGACGCCACGCGUGGCGUUCCGAGAGUACCCGAAGAAAAAGCAUCGGCUAACUCCGUGCCAGCAGCCGCGGUAAUACGGAGGAUGCGAGCGUUAUCCGGAUUUAUUGGGUUUAAGGGGUGCGCAGGCGGAACAUCAAGUCAGCGGUAAAAUUGAGAGGCUCAACCUCUUCGAGCCGUUGAAACUGGUGUUCUUGAGUGAGCGAGAGGUAUGCGGAAUGCGUGGUGUAGCGGUGAAAUGCAUAGAUAUCACGCAGAACUCCGAUUGCGAAGGCAGCAUACCGGCGCGCAACUGACGCUGAUGCACGAAAGUGUGGGUAUCGAACAGGAUUAGAUACCCGUGUAGUC
rnacentral:rRNA from 1 species